rnacentral:rRNA from 1 species
GAUGAACGCUGGCGGCGUGCCUAAUACAUGCAAGUCGAGCGAACAGACGAGGAGCUUGCUCCUCUGACGUUAGCGGCGGACGGGUGAGUAACACGUGGAUAACCUACCUAUAAGACUGGGAUAACUUCGGGAAACCGGAGCUAAUACCGGAUAAUAUAUUGAACCGCAUGGUUCAAUAGUGAAAGACGGUUUUGCUGUCACUUAUAGAUGGAUCCGCGCCGCAUUAGCUAGUUGGUAAGGUAACGGCUUACCAAGGCAACGAUGCGUAGCCGACCUGAGAGGGGGAUCGGCCACACUGGAGCUGAGACACGGUCCAGACUCCUACGGGAGGCAGCAGUAGGGAAUCUUCCGCAGUGGGCGAAAGCCUGACGGAGCGACGCCGCGUGAGUGAUGAAGGUCUUCGGAUCGUAAAACUCUGUUAUUAGGGAAGAACAAAUGUGUAAGUAACUAUGCACGUCUUGACGGUACCUAAUCAGAAAGCCACGGCUAACUACGUG